rnacentral:misc_RNA from 1 species
GUGAAUCAUCAAAUCUUUGAACGCAAAUUGCACUCUCCGGUUUUCCGAGAGAGUAUGCCUGUUUGAGGGUCAACCUAAAUAAAAUCGUCUUAGUAGUUUGCUGUGUUUUUCACGGUAACGUUGGUCGGAAUUUGGUUCAUUUUAAACGCAAAGGUUUUUAAUCGACUUAAAUUUUUCUUCCGUUCUCGCGUAU